rnacentral:rRNA from 1 species
GACGAACGCUGGCGGCGUGCUUAACACAUGCAAGUCGAACGGAAAGGCCCUGCUUUUGUGGGGUGCUCGAGUGGCGAACGGGUGAGUAACACGUGAGUAACCUGCCCUUGACUUUGGGAUAACUUCAGGAAACUGGGGCUAAUACCGGAUAGGAGCUCCUGCUGCAUGGUGGGGGUUGGAAAGUUUCGGCGGCUGGGGUUGGACUCGCGGCUUAUCAGCUUGUUGGUGGGGUAGUGGCUUACCAAGGCUUUGACGGGUAGCCGGCCUGAGAGGGUGACCGGCCACAUUGGGACUGGGAUACGGCCCAGACUCCUACGGGAGGCAGCAGUGGGGAAUAUUGCACGAUGGGCGGAAGCCUGAUGCAGCAACGCCGCGUGCGGGAUGACGGCCUUCGGGUUGUAAACCGCUUUCGCCUGUGACGAAGCGUGAGUGACGGUAAUGUGUAAAGAAGCACCGGCUAACUACGUG